UGGGGAAUUUUGGACAAUGGGCGAAAGCCUGAUCCAGCAAUGCCGCGUGUGUGAAGAAGGCCUUCGGGUUGUAAAGCACUUUUGUCCGGAAAGAAAUCCUUGGCUCUAAUACAGUCGGGGGAUGACGGUACCGGAAGAAUAAGCACCGGCUAACUACGUGCCAGCAGCCGCGGUAAUACGUAGGGUGCAAGCGUUAAUCGGAAUUACUGGGCGUAAAGCGUGCGCAGGCGGUUUGCUAAGACCGAUGUGAAAUCCCCGGGCUCAACCUGGGAACUGCAUUGGUGACUGGCAGGCUAGAGUAUGGCAGAGGGGGGUAGAAUUCCACGUGUAGCAGUGAAAUGCGUAGAGAUGUGGAGGAAUACCGAUGGCGAAGGCAGCCCCCAUGGGCCAAUACUGACGCUCAUGCACGAAAGCGUGGGGGAGCAAAACAGGAUUAGAUACCCUGGUAGUCCACGCCCUAAAACGAUGUCAACUAGUUGUUGGGGAUUCAUUUCCUUAGUAACGUAGCUAACGCGUGAAGUUGACCGCCU
rnacentral:rRNA from 1 species